GACCCACCUGAUUCCAUGCCGAACUCAGAAGUGAAACACAAUAGCGCCGAUGGUAGUGUGGGGUUUCCCCAUGUGAGAGUAGGACAUCGCCAGGC
rnacentral:rRNA from 2 species